rnacentral:rRNA from 1 species
AGAGAAAGCAGUCGCCACGGGAAUACGUAUGCCACGAGCGUUAUCCGGAUUUAUUGGGCGUAAAGCGCGUCUAGGUGGUUAUAUAAGUCUGAUGUGAAAAUGCAGGGCUCAACUCUGUAUUGCGUUGGAAACUGUAUAACUAGAGUACUGGAGAGGUAAGCGGAACUACAAGUGUAGAGGUGAAAUUCGUAGAUAUUUGUAGGAAUGCCGAUGGGGAAGCCAGCUUACUGGACAGAUACUGACGCUGAAGCGCGAAAGCGUGGGUAGCAAACAGGAUUAGAUACCCCGGUAGUCCCUGUCUCUUAUACA